rnacentral:sRNA from 1 species
UCUAUACCAUUGAGGACUAUAGGUGGA